rnacentral:tRNA from 3 species
GGGCAGAUGGCCGAGUGGUUAAAGGCGACAGACUGUAAAUCUGUUCUCUCCGGAGUACGUAGGUUCGAAACCUACUCUGCCCA